UGUUCGUUUGUGAUUUAUUUAACACUACAUGUAGGUCAAUAAUCCAAACAACGGUGUUAAUCAAAUUUUGAAAGAUAUAUCUUGGGGACCUGCACCUACGGUUACUACUAUGUCUAAGUAGUUUGUGAACGAUUACAAAUUUCACACCGAGGAAUACUCCAAGUAUUAAAAAAAAAAAAGCAAUAACAAUUGGAUGUGUGUCAAAGGUGGUGAAGGCAACCAGGAUGAGGAAAAUGAUUAUUAUGGUGUGAUCAAAGAGAUUCUAGAAUUAUCAUAUUCAGGUUGGCCAAAUAAGAAAGAUCAUACUUUUCCGAUGCAAGCGGUUUUACCCAACACCUAGAAGAAGUACAAAUGUACAUUCACAGUACAACAUAAUUGAGGUUAAUAAAAAGAGGGGGUAUGAUCGCUAUGAUCCUUUUAUAAUUGCAAAAAAAGUCAGGCAAGUAUAUUAUGGUCCAUAUCUAUUGCGGAGAGAUAAGGCUGAUUGGUUGGUUGUAAUCAAAACUAAGUCUGUUGGUAGGGUGGAAAUUGAGAAUGCUCUAGAUGUUGCUUACCAAAACAACACCUCAAGUGUUAACCAAAUGGUGGAUGACCAGUUAGAAAAUGACUUGGAGCAUCCUCAACGCAUAUUAGAAGAAGUUGAUAUGGAGGAAAUAACAAUCAUAAAAAAUAAGGACGAAGAAUCACCUGAUGAAAAUGAAGUAAGUGAAGAGGAAGAAUUUUCGGACGAGAAAGGAUACUUCGAAGACGACUAAUGACAGAUAAGGGUCGAGGUAGGUCUAGGAAGGAUAAAAGUCCUAUUGAUCAUGAGGAUAAUGCUACACCCUCGCUUCCUUCCGCUCCACACUUGCAUCCCUCCAUUUCUGAUGGCCGGCAACGAUCUUCUAGGCACACAUCUUUUCUACCACAUCCAUUUACUCAUCAAACUACCUACCAUUCGCCCUCCCAACUGUAUUCUUGUCAUUAUCCACUAUAGGGCUAUACCCCGCUUCCUCCACAUGAUCCUGCAAGUAGUUACAUGGGUCCAUCGAGUUAGCAGUCAUAGGGCCAUGUGGUGAUGUGCUCGUCAUCUGCUCCAUUUGCUUCAGCACCAGCUGGAUAGCAUACAUCUAGAUUCAACCACCCGGAUCGUAGCAAGGGUCUAGAUUGCAUCCAUCUUCAUCAGCGACCCCAUCUCCCUCUCCACAGAGUUUGUCUCCUAGCAUUUCUAGACUUCAUCUUCGGGAUAGUAGCGGUGAGCCAAAUGCCUCCCCUUCUACGCACGCUUUAGAUUCAUCGGAUGAUGAUGAUCCAGAGGAAGUGCAAUAUGAUCGUUAUCUAGGAUGAUCAUCAGGCCUGAAGGUAAUGGGUUCAUACCUAAUCAUCAAACUACAAAGAUAAUCACUUAAUCUGCAAUUAGUUGUAUGAUGCAACCUAUGCGACUUGGAGUAAAUUUCCACCGGAGCUCGUGGAGCAAAUUUUCAACCAAUUUAAGAUUAAGUGGUCCUGGGAGGACCGGCAUAACAGUGUCAUUCUUACAAAUUUUGUGUUUAAAUGCCGUAAGAGACUAUCUGAUUCCUUCUAUUCUGCUCGGAAGAAGAGCAAGAAGCCUUCAUGGGUUUUACCACAUUUAUGGGAGGAUCUAUUGAGGCAGUGGACCAUUGAAAAUUUGAGAAGAUGAGUGAACAUGGAAAGAAGGUCCGAGCAUCUGAGAAUAGUGGCUCCUUGCACUGUGUGGGUUCAAGGAGCAUGGGGACUGCGAGGAGACUACUGGAAAAAAAAUAUGUAAGAAAGAUGACUCAUGAUGAGUUCUUCACGGAGACUCACAUCUGGAAGAAGAAGGCACCGACAUAUCCAAGUAGAUGGGUCGAGGAUCGGGCAGAGACUAUGUAUGAUCUCUACAAGACUAAUGUGAAGGAGUACACUCCAAGCUUGCCACCGAAUGGGCAAGGUGAGCGACCACCCAUUUCAGACGAAGAAGCGCAGAAGAUAUGGUUGGAUGUUAUCAGUGGUCCUAAAAAAGGGAUAGCAUACGGCCUAUUAGAGAGAUCAUUUCGGCGCUACAGGGAUGGAUUGCAAGGUAUAGGGACUUUCAUAUAGAGCGAGACAAUUGAUAGGUCGACUCUCUCAUCUAUGAAGAAGAAGAUCGCAAAGUUGACAGCAGAACUUGAAGAGACAAAGGCUAGAAAACAAAAGAGAGAUAAACAAUUUGAUACCAUUCAAGUUCAGCUAGAAAAGAGGGACCAACAAUUUAAUGUCCUUCAAGGUCAGCUGGCCAAUCUUCUUGCUAGUGGUGCUUUCCCGAUUCCUCGGUCUCGUGAGCCUUCCCCAAAUCUAAUCUUUCUUGUCGUGAUCCUCCGAACCAUGCCGACGAUGAAACUUCUAGUAGUGAAGAUGAAGAUGAUGUAAUACAAAACACUCCCUGAAUGAUGUGUAUUGCUAAACAAAGUCCUGAACUUGUGAAUAUUUUGUUGGGAUAAUUUUGAAUGAUGAUUGUAUUGUUGAUA